AUCUUGCUGAAGGUAGCCUUGCUGUUGGGUGUUGAAGUGUUUGAAUCUGUGACCUUUGAGGAGCUAGUUGAACCACCCGAGGAUCAAAAUGAAAAGAUUGGUUGGCGAGCAAGAUUAACUCCACCAGACCAUCCAGCCAAUCAGUAUGAAUUUGAUGUGCUGCUUGGAGCAGAUGGCAAGAGGAACACGCUUCAUGGCUUCAAGCGAAAGGAGUUUCGUGGAAAGUUAGCUAUUGCCAUCACAGCCAAUUUCAUA